rfam:Ovis aries breed Texel chromosome 6, whole genome shotgun sequence.
UCCCUCAUAGUUCAGUUGGUGAAAAAUCUGCCUGCCAUGCAGGAGACCCGGGUUCGAUUCCUGGGUCGGGAA